rnacentral:rRNA from 1 species
AUCUUUGACGCACCUUGCGCUCCUUGGUAUUCCGAGGAGCAUGCCUGUUUGAGUGUCAUGGAAUUCUCAACUCUAUUUGCUUUUGUGAAUAGAGCUUGGACUUGGAGGUUUAUUGCUGGUACAUCUGUGAUCGGCUCCUCUUGAAUGCAUUAGCUCGAACCUUUGUGGAUCAGCUAUCGGUGUGAUAAUUGUCUACGCCGUUGCUGUGAAGCAUGUUAAUGGGAUCGGCUUCUAAUCGUCCUUUUACUCGAGGACAAUGACUUUGACCUUUGACCUCAAAUCAGGUAGGAUUACCCGCUGAACUUAAGCAUA